AAAUUCGCUCAGUCUACUCUCCAGUCUCCAUCCCAACCUUAAACUUCUAUAGAGCGAGAAGGGAGAGCGAUUCCCGGCCUGAACUGCCUUGUCAUGCUAUUUGUUAGGGCAUAUUUUUUAUUUGUCUGAAUUUGGUCCGUAAGGAGAAACCCAACUUAUUGAUUUUUUUUUUCUAAAUAAUUCGUUGGUUGAGCUGGGUUGAUUUGAGGAUCUGUCCUAUAUUAAUUGGUCUCUAUUUUGUUGUAAUGGGUCAAGAUCCUUCUUUGCAAUGAAUUUACGUUAUUUUUUGAACAAAAAAAAGGUAAUUGCUGCAGGUAUUGCAGCUCCUAGGGGCAAAAGACCACGAGCGGAUAAGCUGAUUGCCAAAAAGACACACAAUACCACAGGGCAGUGCCCAUAGCAUUCACCUGAUGAACUUCCCCUCUGAGCAAGUCUAUGACAGCUUUACAAUCUGAUUCAGCACAAGCCUUCUUAAAACUCAAUUCAGAUGCCAAUCACAGAACAUAGGACAAAGUCAUGGCUUUAGCAACAUCCGGAUCCCAACUACCUAUCGAACACUUCGAAGCACACGCUAUUACAGCCCCAUCGGCGUCUCUAAAAUCAACACCAUAACCAAUUCUCCCAUUAAAGACGCAUCACAAUUCAUCUUAAUAAGCCCUCGUUCUGGUGGUUUCCAAGAAAGAGGAGGACUCUCCAUAUCCUACCCAUGCGGAGAGCUAAGACUGCGAUACUCAUUUGCCAAACUGAUGAUUAUUGGCUUAAAUAUGCCGGGAAAAGAAGGAUUAAACUUCGUUCCUGGACGAAAGUAGCAGACUGAUGAUGCGUCCGCGGCAAAAAUGGCGUUACUGUCGAUGCUUUGUAUAAUUAGCGUGAGGUGUGCAAAUUACAAACAAAAAGUGUAUAAAUCGUACCGGUAAUAUUUUCCGAAUGCAAAAGAGAUCAAUAGCGUAUCGAAAUGUGCACUUUUCUUAAACAAAACAGAUUGGUAUGCUGCAUGUAUUCCAUUGAAUGCAGAGAAACCCUGAAGCUCUCCAAGACAUUUUCAAAUUGGCUUCAAAGGAAACUAUAAACCAGGACAAAUUAGCAUCCUAGAAGCUUCACCAGAUUCCGUUGGUGAAGUACGGCAACAUGCAUUACUUCAUUCUUGAACUCAUCAAGUCCUUGGGUUGAAUUCUUUGAGAGCCUCUUCACAGCACUUUCUUGUCCAUCUUUCAACGUUCCCUUUCAAUGCAAUAUCCUAGAAGCUUCACCAGGUUUCGAUGCUGAAGCUUGGCAAUGCAUUUGACUUCAUUCUUGAAUUCAUCAAGCCCUUGGCUAGAGUUCUUGGAGAGCCUCUUAACAGCAAUUUCUACUCCUCCUUCAAGCAGGCCCUGCAUAUAUAGAGAAGUGCCUGAUAAUGGUCCAAAGCCGCCCUGUCCAAGCAGAUUGCUGAAUGAGAAGUUAUUGGUAGCAUUAGCUAUUGUGGAAAAGUCAAAAUGAGGUAGCUCUAGAUCUUCCUUCUGGUUUUUCAUAGAGUAGCUGCCUUCUAGAUUGUUUUCCUGCUUGCCUGUGAAUUGUGGUGAAUAGAAGCAGUAAGUAGCAAUGAAGUCCUAUAAAUGACUUAAUUCGAUCAAUAACCUUCUAGGUUUGUUUUCUUUUUGUUGAAGAAAUAGCCUCCUAGCUGAGUCCUAGAACCUAGUGAAAACACAUAACAAGAAGACACUUUCAUAAUUGUCCAAGCAUCCAGCCCAACCCUUGUCAGGUAAAUUGUUGGAAGAUGAAGAAGUCCCACACCUGGUGGGAAAGAAAAGAAAAGAGGGCCAUAUAAGAUGAGGCUCAGCAAAGUCAAAAUGGCUUAAACCAUUUUGCCAAAAGUUGAAGCUCAACAACCUGCUGAUGGAAGAAAUUCAGACUAAUUCCACACUCCUAGAGCCCAGUCCGUUAACAACUAACAUGGUAUUAGAGUCAUCAAGCCAAUGGCCACAAAGAUCCUGGGACCCAGAAUCAAUUAGCCAGUGUGGGAGCUGUGAAAAUGGAUUAGUCCAUGUGGAACCCAUCCAUUAGGCAAGUGAUAACUGGGCCUCAACAGGUCCCAACCCAGUUGCACAUGAUGGCAGAAAUUUACCAGAUGCCAUGAUCUGCAGAAUUACCUAGUUGCAUAUGAUAAGCAGCCCAAUGUUUAAUGUUUUCCACAGCAAUGAGAUUACUUCAUCUCUAGUGUAUGAAAAAAAAAAAGUUCCUCGUAUACUUGAUCUAAUCAAGUGUAGCCAUCAUAAGAAGAGUAUUAUCCUCCUGUGGUUUGAUGUUGCCCCAUAAUGUGGUGCAGAAAAAGGCUAUUUAAGAAGGUAGAUGAAUGAUCCCUCCCAUAAAAUAGCUUAUGAAAAGGGAGCAUUCUUUCUGAAAGACUGAAAAUGGAUUAUUUAGCAUCCUACAUAUAACACAUAUUAUGCAGUGUCUUUUUUUUUUGGCACGCUACUUCUGUAAACAAACUAUAGAAGUGAAUUAUGGGCAAUGCAACUUACCUGGUGGACCUUGUGUU